rnacentral:rRNA from 1 species
CAGUAGCCGCGGGAAUACGAAGGGGGCUAGCGUUGCUCGGAAUGACUGGGCGUAAAGGGCGCGUAGGCGGAUGGCACAGUCAGAUGUGAAAUUCCCGGGCUUAACCUGGGGGCUGCAUUUGAUACGUGUUGUCUAGAGUGAGGAAGAGGGUCGUGGAAUUCCCAGUGUAGAGGUGAAAUUCGUAGAUAUUGGGAAGAACACCGGUGGCGAAGGCGGCGACCUGGUCCUUUACUGACGCUGAGGCGCGAAAGCGUGAGGAGCAAACAGGAUUAGAUACCCCGGUAGUCCCUGUCUCUUAUAC